UUAUUCUUUAUUCUUAGGUAGUAAGUAUGCAUGUGUAAGUGUACGCAAGGCUGACGAUGUUGACGUUUAAUUUAUCGUCGCGAUCGCUACGAAUAUUAUAUGGAUUCAACGGAUAAUGCCAGUAACCUCUUCCUAGUGGUGCAACAUCGCGCGAUUACGUCCUCGUGUGACGAGAUUUGCGAGUCGUGAGAUUUCACGAGCCGUGAACAUGCGAUCUUUGUACACACCAGGGGUUUGGCUCGAUGCACGACACGCCAUGUUGGUUUGAAAGAAUAUCUUCUGAGUCGGUAGAAUCUAUUUAGCGAGCGUAUCGUUUUUCGUAUAUCGCGAAUGAACCCAGUGUGAUACACACUCCAGACGAUGGAAGAAACGAAGAUUAUCUAUCACAUGGAUGAUGAGGAGACACCGUACCUGGUGAAACUCAAUAUAUCGCCAGAGAGGGUAACCCUGGCAGACUUCAAGAACGUUUUAAAUCGGCCGAAUUACAAGUAUUUCUUCAAGUCAAUGGACGAUGACUUCGGCGUGGUAAAAGAGGAAAUUAUAGAUGAUGAUGCUCAUCUGCCAUGUUUCAAUGGUCGAGUUGUCUCUUGGCUGGUAUCCGCCGAAGGUAGCAAUGUCUCGGAUGGUGCAUCCCAGUGUACAGACUCUAUGGCACACAGUGAAGCAAAACAUGAUCGUGCAGAUCAUAUAACUUCUGGACAUGGUAACAGGGGAACAGCUCCACUUUCACACGACGAUACAUUGACAGAGACGGAAAGUAUUAUAAGCAGUCGACAAGGACAUCAUUUACAUAAAAGCUCGAGACAUCAUUCAGAAAAAUAUGAAAAGUACAAUAAAUAUAAUGGACUUCGUAUAAAUGGUCAUUCGAAACAUCGCUCUGGUCAUGGAUAUGAAACUGCUUCCAUUUUGAGUUCAGAUUUAGAAACAACAACUUUUUUGGAAUCUGACGAUGAUGCGAGUAGUCGUAUCACAUCGACGACAGGUCGGCACACCAAUAUGAGUAGCACAGUUGAUAGAGGCACUCUGGAUCGACGUCGACCGCAAAGAAGACGGCGGCAUAGAUUACCACCCAUGUCGCGAACGUCAUCGUUUAGUAGUAUUACUGACAGUACAAUGUCUUUAAAUAUUAUAACUGUGUCACUGAAUAUGGAUACUGUUAAUUUCCUUGGUAUUAGUAUUGUCGGGCAAAGUAACAAAGGUGGAGAUGGAGGAAUAUAUGUUGGUUCAAUAAUGAAAGGGGGAGCAGUUGCUUUAGAUGGUCGAAUAGAACCCGGUGACAUGAUUCUCCAAGUCAAUGAUAUUAAUUUCGAAAAUAUGUCUAAUGACGAAGCGGUGAGAGUAUUACGCGAAGUAGUGCAAAAACCAGGACCAAUAAAACUUGUAGUUGCAAAAUGUUGGGACCCAAAUCCUAAAGGUUAUUUUACGAUACCUCGCACAGAACCGGUACGUCCCAUCGAUCCUGGUGCAUGGGUAGCGCAUACGGCCGCUAUACGAGGUGAAGGUUUUCCGCCUCGCCCACCAAGUGCCACAACAUUAACUUCAACAUCGAGCAGUCUUGCGAGCACGCUGCCAGAUACCGAACGACCAUUGGAAGAACUUCAUUUAACAGUCAACACCGACAUGCCGACAGUAGUACGAGCAAUGGCUCGAUCUGAUUCAGGCUUAGAGAUACGCGAUCGAAUGUGGCUUAAAAUUACCAUUCCAAAUGCAUUUAUCGGUGCGGAUGUUGUGGACUGGCUGAAUACGCACGUAGAAGGAUUUAUUGAUCGGCGCGAUGCUAGGAAAUAUGCAUCGCUCAUGCUAAAAGCUGGCUUUAUUCGGCAUACAGUGAACAAAAUCACAUUUUCCGAACAAUGCUAUUACAUUUUUGGUGAUCUAUGUUCAGCGAUGAGUAGCAUGAAACUAGAUUGUGAUACAGUUGGUCCCUUGCCACCGCCAAAUGCUUGGGACAUGCCUUAUUCGGGAACAUAUGCACCACAUUCAGCGGCUGGUUAUAGUCCCAUGCCAUUUAAUUUUACAAAUGAGCCCACUGUCUAUGGUUACCAUCGAGAAGAGAGCGUGCAUAGUGGUUCGGGUGGUAGCAGUGCAGGUAGUGAACGUAUAUGCAAAGAACCUAUUCACGAUCUAAAAUCGUGCUCUUCGGCAUCAGAAUCAGAAUUACAUAAUCCAUCGAUGCCGUCAAUGCCAAGCAAAAAUUCCGGCAAUGGUAAUGGAUCGAAUGGAAAGAGAUCUAACGGAAGUCGCAGUCGUUCUAGUGGUUCCGAACAAUCUGUUCAAACGGGAACAGGAUCAGGGAAUCAGCAGAAUCAACAAGAUUUAUCUGAUGGUUGAUGCAGGGCGGCGUCUACACGAGGAGACUCAUACACAAACUAGUGAUUUGGACAACAAUAGCAGAGAUGAUAUCUAUGAGGAAGAUAUUUUGGAGUACCAGUUUCUACAUAAGUGAGAAGACCUUUUUUAAUGUAUACGCAUAAUGAUGGUAAUAUGAGUCACACAAAUGAUCAAGGUAUAUUUCCAUUGACUUUUUAUUAGUUGGAUGGAAAUAGCACACAUGCGAAACAUAUAUUUAUAUAUUUAAUAGGCCAAUUUUGAUAUCAUAGAAAGUAAAAAAUUAAAAUUCAUAAUUAUGAUUUAUAUAUACGUAUAUAUAUAAAAAAAUAUAUAUAUAUAUAACGGCUAUACAUAAUAAAAUUAAGACCAUAAAGAUAUUGUCGUGGUAAUUAAAAUUUGUUUAAGAAUAUUAGUAUAACCCACAUUUUAUUUUUUUCUAUUAAAACAUUUUCAUUUUUCUAAAAAAAAAAA